AGAGUUUGAUCCUGGCUCAGGAUGAACGCUAGCGGCAGGCCUAACACAUGCAAGUCGGGGGGUAGCAGGAUAAAGCUUGCUUUAUUGCUGACGACCGGCGCACGGGUGCGUAACGCGUAUGCAACCUACCUUAUACUGGGGUAUAGCCCGGAGAAAUUCGGAUUAAUCCCCCAUAGUAUUAUCGGAUCGCAUGGUUUGAUAAUUAAAGGUUACGGUAUAAGAUGGGCAUGCGUCCCAUUAGCUAGAUGGUGAGGUAACGGCUCACCAUGGCGACGAUGGGUAGGGGGCCUGAGAGGGUGGUCCCCCACACUGGUACUGAGACACGGACCAGACUCCUACGGGAGGCAGCAGUGAGGAAUAUUGGUCAAUGGGCGCAAGCCUGAACCAGCCAUGCCGCGUGCAGGAAGACGGUCCUAUGGAUUGUAAACUGCUUUUAUUCGGGAAUAAACCUCCUUACGUGUAGGGAGCUGAAGGUACCGAAUGAAUAAGCACCGGCUAACUCCGUGCCAGCAGCCGCGGUAAU
rnacentral:rRNA from 1 species